UAUGUGAUCGUCUCUCGCAUAUCAAUAAGCGGAGGAAAAGAAACUAACAAGGAUUCCCCUAGUAACGGCGAGUGAAGCGGGAAGAGCUCAAAUUUGAAAUCUUAAAGGGUUUCCCUUUACGAAUUGUAGUUUAAAGAAGUGUUUUCUGUUGAGGUUUUGGUAAAAGUUCUUUGGAAUAGGACAUCAUAGAGGGUGAGAAUCCCGUAUUUGACCUUUACUUUCAACUUUGUGAUACACUUUCAAAGAGUCGGAUUGUUUGGGAAUGCAGUCCAAAAUGGGUGGUAAAUUUCAUCUAAAGCUAAAUAUUGGCGAGAGACCGAUAGCGAACAAGUACCGUGAGGGAAAGAUGAAAAGAACUUUGAAAAGAGAGUUAAACAGUACGUGAAAUUGUCAAAAGGGAAGCGUUUGACACCAGUGUUGUUUUUCUGAAAAUCAAUUAAAGAACUGUUUAUGCUAAGCUGUUUAGACUUUAUCAGCUAAUCUGUUUAGUUUUGAGCUUUUCUUUAAUGCACUUUUCAGUUAACAAGUCAACAUCAAUUUCUUUUGCUGUAAAAAAGCUUGAGGAAGGUGGCUUGAGAUUCGUCUUAAGUGUUUAUAGCCUCUUGCCUAUGCAGUCGGAGAGAUUGAGGUCUGCAGCGUAGAUCCUUCGGGGCUAAAUGCAUUUGUGCUAAGUUAUAGCAUUUUAUAAACAACUUGUUGACUAUGAUUUGUCUUGUAGCUUACUCGCUUAUGUUAUUUUACCUACGCUUAGGAUGUUGAGUAGCGACAUACGCAC
rnacentral:rRNA from 1 species